rnacentral:rRNA from 1 species
AGAGUUGAUCCUGGCUCAGGAUGAACGCUGGCGGCGUGCCUAACACAUGCAAGUCGAACGGACCUUUACAGACUGCGAUUCGUCAAAGGAAGUUAAGGUAGUGGCGGACGGGUGAGUAACGCGUGGGUAACCUGCCUCGUAGAGGGGGAUAACAGUUGGAAACGAUUGCUAAUACCGCAUAAGCCCACAGGACCGCAUGGUCCAGGGGGGAAAAGAUUCAUCGCUACGAGAUGGACCCGCGUUUGAUUAGUUAGUUGGCGGUGUAACGGACCACCAAGACGACGAUCAAUAGCCGGACUGAGAGGUUGAACGGCCACAUUGGGACUGAGACACGGCCCAAACUCCUACGGGAGGCAGCAGUGGGGAAUAUUGCACAAUGGGGGAAACCCUGAUGCAGCGACGCCGCGUGGGUGAAGAAGUUUUUCGGAAUGUAAAGCCCUAUCAGCAGGGAAGAAAAUGACGGUACCUGACUAAGAAGCCCCGGCUAACUACGUGCCAGCCGCCGC